UACGUAGGGUGCAAGCGUUAAUCGGAAUUACUGGGCGUAAAGCGUGCGCAGGCGGUUCGGAAAGACAGAUGUGAAAUCCCAGGGCUUAACCUUGGAACUGCAUUUUUAACUGCCGGGCUAGAGUAUGUCAGAGGGGGGUAGAAUUCCACGUGUAGCAGUGAAAUGCGUAGAGAUGUGGAGGAAUACCGAUGGCGAAGGCAGCCCCCUGGGAUAAUACUGACGCUCAUGCACGAAAGCGUGGGGAGCAAACAGG
rnacentral:rRNA from 1 species